UACAGAGGUCCCGAGCGUUGUUCGGAUUCACUGGGCGUAAAGGGUGCGUAGGCGGUCGGGUAAGUCUGAUGUGAAAUCUCACAGCUUAACUGUGAAACUGCAUUGGAUACUAUCCGGCUUGAGGAAUGGAGGGGAGACUGGAAUACUUGGUGUAGCAGUGAAAUGCGUAGAUAUCAAGUGGAACACCAGUGGCGAAGGCGAGUCUCUGGACAUUUCCUGACGCUGAGGCACGAAAGCCAGGGGAGCAAACGGG
rnacentral:rRNA from 1 species